rnacentral:rRNA from 1 species
AGUUUUUAACUCAAGUGGCGGACGGGUGAGUAACACGUAAGAAUUUGCCUUUAGGAGGGGGAUAACAACUGGAAACGGUUGCUAGUACCCCAUAUGCUUUCGAGUGAAAUGGAUUUUUCCGCCUAGAGAGAAGCUUGCGGCUGAUUAGCUUGUUGGUAAGGUAAUGGCUUACCAAGGCGACGAUCAGUAUCUGGUUUGAGAGGACGAUCAGACACACUGGAACUGAGACACGGCCCAG